AUUGAACGCUGGCGGCAUGCUUUACACAUGCAAGUCGAACGGUAACAGGCCGCAAGGUGCUGACGAGUGGCGAACGGGUGAGUAAUGCAUCGGAACGUGCCCAGUCGUGGGGGAUAACUAUCCGAAAGGAUAGCUAAUACCGCAUACGAUCUGCGGAUGAAAGCGGGGGACCUUCGGGCCUCGCGCGAUUGGAGCGGCCGAUGUCAGAUUAGGUAGUUGGUGGGGUAAAGGCUCACCAAGCCAACGAUCUGUAGCUGGUCUGAGAGGACGACCAGCCACACUGGGACGGAGACACGGCCCAGACUACUACGGGAGGCAGCAGUGGGGAAUUUUGGACAAUGGGCGCAAGCCUGAUCCAGCAAUGCCGCGUGCAGGAAGAAGGCCUUCGGGUUGUAAACUGCUUUUGUACGGAACGAAACGGCUCUGGUUAAUACCUGGGGCUAAUGACGGUACCGUAAGAAUAAGCACCGGCUAACUACGUGCCAGCCGCCGCAGUAA
rnacentral:rRNA from 1 species